rfam:Calypte anna contig66627, whole genome shotgun sequence.
AUCCUUUCUUGGCCCUUUAGCUAAAAUCAAGUAUAGUGUCCAUUCUUGUCAGUUUUAUGGUGCACAUAUCUUCAGUGUGAGAACAUGAUGUUACAUGAGUGUUGGAAGUGGGAGAUGGACUUGGAGCUUGCUCUGUGCCUUGUCCUGGCAAUGCAGAGCCC